rnacentral:rRNA from 1 species
ACCGGCAGCUCAAGUGGUGGCCAUUUUUAUUGGGCCUAAAGCGUUCGUAGCCGGUUUGAUAAGUCUCUGGUGAAAUCCCGCAGCUUAACUGUGGGACUUGCUGGAGAUACUAUUAGACUUGAGGUCGGGAGAGGUUAGGGGUACUCCCAGGGUGGGGGUGAAUUCCAAUAAUCCGAGGAAGACCAACUAAGGCGAAGGCGCCUAACUGGAACGAACCUGACUGUGAGUACCUAAAGCUAGGCGCGCUCACAG